rnacentral:rRNA from 1 species
AUUGAACGCUGGCGGCAGGCCUAACACAUGCAAGUCGAGCGAGCGGCGGACGGGUGAGUAAUGUAUGGGGACUGCCCGAUCGAGGGGGAUAACUACUGGAAACGGUAGCUAAUACCGCAUACUAUCGGAUAACCCAUAUGGGAUUAGCUAGUGGGGGGGGUAAAGGCUCACCAAGGCAACGAUCCGUAGCUGGUUUGAGAGGACGACCAGCCACACUGGGACUGAGACACGGCCCAGACUCCGACGGAGGCAGCAGUGGGGAAUGUUGGACAAUGGGGGAAACCCUGAUCCAGCCAUCCCGAGUGUAUGAUGAAGGCCUUCGGGUUGUAAAGUACUUUUGGCAGAGAAGCGGUAUCUGCAGAAGAAGCACCGGCUAACUACAUGCCAGCAGCCGCGGUAAUUC